rnacentral:rRNA from 1 species
AGGAAGGCUCGUCCGCUCUGGGUUAGUCGGGUCCUAAGCUGAGGCCGACAGGCGUAGGCGAUGGAUAACAGGUUGAUAUUCCUGUACCACCUAUAAUCGUUUUAAUCGAUGGGGGGACGCAGUAGGAUAGGCGAAGCGUGCGAUUGGAUUGCACGUCUAAGCAGUAAGGCUGAGUAUUAGGCAAAUCCGGUACUCAUUAAGGCUGAGCUGUGAUGGGGAGAAGACAUUGUGUCUUCGAGUCGUUGAUUUCACACUGCCGAGAAAAGCCUCUAGAUAGAAAAUAGGUGCCCGUACCGCAAACCGACACAGGUAGUCAAGAUGAGAAUUCUAAGGUGAGCGAGCGAACUCUCGUUAAGGAACUCGGCAAAAUGACCCCGUAACUUCGGGAGAAGGGGUGCUCUUUAGGGUUAACGCCCAGAAGAGCCGCAGUGAAUAGGCCCAAGCGACUGUUUAUCAAAAACACAGGUCUCUGCUAAACCGUAAGGUGAUGUAUAGGGGCUGACGCCUGCCCGGUGCUGGAAGGUUAAGAGGAGUGGUUAGCUUCUGCGAAGCUACGAAUCGAAGCCCCAGUAAACGGCGGCCGUAACUAUAACGGUCCUAAGGUAGCGAAAUUCCUUGUCGGGUAAGUUCCGACCCGCACGAAAGGCGUAACGAUUUGGGCACUGUCUCAACGAGAGACUCGGUGAAAUCAUAGUACCUGUGAAGAUGCAGGUUACCCGCGACAGGACGGAAAGACCCCGUGGAGCUUUACUGUAGCCUGAUAUUGAAAUUCGGCACAGCUUGUACAGGAUAGGUAGGAGCCUUUGAAACGUGAGCGCUAGCUUACGUGGAGGCGCUGGUGGGAUACUACCCUAGCUGUGUUGGCUUUCUAACCCGCACCACUUAUCGUGGUGGGAGACAGUGUCAGGCGGGCAGUUUGACUGGGGCGGUCGCCUCCUAAAAGGUAACGGAGGCGCUCAAAGGUUCCCUCAGAAUGGUUGGAAAUCAUUCAUAGAGUGUAAAGGCAUAAGGGAGCUUGACUG